rfam:Oryza meridionalis cultivar OR44 (W2112) chromosome 11, whole genome shotgun sequence.
AUCCCAUGAUGACGAUAGGUGGUGAUAUAUUCCUACAGCCUUUCCCAAGCUUCAGGUAAGGUUUCAUCCCUUGUCUGCUGAAAACCGGAUAUUCUUCCACGGAGAGC